rnacentral:rRNA from 1 species
GGCCUAACACAUGCAAGUCGAGCGGUAACAGGACUAGCUUGCUAGUUGCUGACGAGCGGCGGACGGGUGCGUAACACGUAGGAAUCUGCCCGGUAGUGGGGGAUAGCCCGGAGAAAUCCGGAUUAAUACCGCAUACGCCUUACGAGGGAAAGGAGGGGCCUCUUCGGAGCCUUUCGCUAUCGGAUGAGCCUGCGUCGGAUUAGCUAGUUGGUGGGGUAAAGGCCUACCAAGGCGACGAUCCGUAGCUGGUCUGAGAGGAUGAUCAGCCACACUGGGACUGAGACACGGCCCAGACUCCUACGGGAGGCAGCAGUGGGGAAUAUUGCACAAUGGGGGAAACCCUGAUGCAGCCAUGCCGCGUGUGUGAAGAAGGCUCUAGGGUUGUAAAGCACUUUCAGCGAGGAGGAAAGG